GAUGAAGAACGUAGCGAAAUGCGAUAAGUAAUGUGAAUUGCAGAAUUCAGUGAAUCAUCGAAUCUUUGAACGCACAUUGCGCCCGCCAGUAUUCUGGCGGGCAUGCCUGUUCGAGCGUCAUUUCAACCAUCAAGCCCCCGGCUUGUGUUGGGGACCUGCGGCUGCCGCAGGCCCUGAAAACCAGUGGCGGGCUCGCUAGUCACUCCGAGCGUAGUAAUACAUCUCGCUCAGGGCGUGCUGCGGGUUCCGGCCGUUCAAAGCCUUAUUUUACCCAAGGUUGACCUCGGAUCAGGUAGGAAGACCCGCUGAACUUAAGCAUAUCAAUAAGCGGAGGA
rnacentral:misc_RNA from 1 species